rnacentral:rRNA from 1 species
CUCUGUGACUCCUACGGGAGGCAGCAGUGGGAAUAUUGCACAAUGGGCGCAAGCCUGAUGCAGCAACGCCGUGUGAGUGAAGAAGGUUUUCGGAUCGUAAAACUCUGUCCUAAGGGAAGAAACAAAUGACGGUACCUUAGGAGGAAGCCCCCGGCUAACUACGUGCCAGCAGCCGCGGUAAUACGUAGGGGGCAAGCGUUAUCCGGAAUCACUGGGCGUAAAGGGUGCGUAGGCGGCUUAGCAAGCCAGGGGUGAAAGGCAUUGGCUCAACCAAUGUAAGCCUUUGGAACUGUUAAGCUUGAGUGCAGGAGAGGUAAGUGGAAUUCCUAGUGUAGAGGUGAAAAUUCGUAGAUAUUAGGAGGAACACCAGUGGCGAAGGCGACUUACUGGACUGUAACUGACGCUGAUGCACGAAAGCGUGGGUAGCGAACAGGAUUAGAUACCCUGGUAG